UACAGAGGUCCCGAGCGUUGUUCGGAUUCAUUGGGCGUAAAGGGGUGCGUAGGCGGUCUUCUAAGUUUGAUGUGAAUCCCGGGGCUCAACCCUGGAAUGGCAUUGAAUACUGGAGGACUAGAGUACCGGAGAGGAAACUGGAAUUUACGGUGUAGCAGUGAAAUGCGUAGAGAUCGUAAGGAAGACCAGUGGCGAAGGCGGGUCUCUGGACAGUUCCUGACGGCUGAGCACGAAGGCCAGGGGAGCAAACGGGG
rnacentral:rRNA from 1 species